GACGAACGCUGGCGGCGUGCCUAAUACAUGCAAGUAGAACGCUGAAGGAGGAGCUUGCUUCUCUGGAUGAGUUGCGAACGGGUGAGUAACGCGUAGGUAACCUGCCUGGUAGCGGGGGAUAACUAUUGGAAACGAUAGCUAAUACCGCAUAAUAGUAGAUGUUGCAUGACAUUUGCUUAAAAGGUGCAAUUGCAUCACUACCAGAUGGCCCUGCGUUGUAUUAGCUAGUUGGUGGGGUAACGGCUCACCAAGGCGACGAUACAUAGCCGACCUGAGAGGGUGAUCGGCCACACUGGGACUGAGACACGGCUCAGACUCCUACGGGAGGCAGCAGUAGGGAAUCUUCGGCAAUAGACGGAAGUCUGACCGAGCAACGCCGCGUGAGUGAAGAAGGUUUUCGGAUCGUAAAGCUCUGUUGUAAGAGAAGAUCGAGUGUGAGAGUGGAAAGUUCACACUGUGACGGUAUCUUACCAGAAAGGGACGGCUAACUACGUG
rnacentral:rRNA from 1 species